UACGUAGGGGGCAAGCGUUAUCCGGAAUUAUUGGGCGUAAAGAGUACGUAGGUGGCAACCUAAGCGCAGGGUUUAAGGCAAUGGCUCACCAUUGUUCGCCCUGCGAACUGGGAUGCUUGAGUGCAGGAGAGGAAAGCGGAAUUCCUAGUGUAGCGGUGAAAUGCGUAGAUAUUAGGAGGAACACCAGUGGCGAAGGCGGCUUUCUGGACUGUAACUGACACUGAGGUACGAAAGCGUGGGGAGCAAACAGG
rnacentral:rRNA from 1 species